UACAAUUUAGUAUAAAAUGUACAUAAGUUUUUGAUACUUAAAGAGAUAAUGUAGUAUUAUUAAUUGUAA
rnacentral:tRNA from 1 species